rnacentral:rRNA from 1 species
UACGUAGGGUGCGAGCGUUGUCCGGAAUUAUUGGGGCGUAAAAGGGCUCGUAGGCGGUUUGUCGCGUCGGGAGUGAAAUCCACUGGCUUAACUGGUGGCUUUGCUUUCGAUACGGGCAGACUGGAGGUAUGCAGGGGAGAACGGAAUUCCUGGUGUAGCGGUGAAAAUGCGCAGAUAUCAGGAGGAACACCGGUGGCGAAGGCAGGUCUCUGGGCAUUAACUGACGUGAGGAGCGAAAAGCAUGGGGGAGCGAAACAGG